UCUGGAGUGUCAGCAGGGUAAAAGUGC
rnacentral:sRNA from 1 species